rnacentral:tRNA from 1 species
GGGUCCAUAGUUCAAUGGUAGAAUUUUCGUCUCCAAAACGAAAGAUCAAGGUUCGAAUCCUUGUGGGCCCGCCU